rnacentral:rRNA from 1 species
UACGGAGGGUGCGAGCGUUGUCCGGAAUCACUGGGCGUAAAGGGCGCGUAGGCGGCCUGGCAAGUCGAUGGUGAAAGCCCGAGGCUCAACUUCGGGUCGGCCACUGAUACUGCUGGGCUUGAGUCGACUAGAGGCAGAUGGAAUUCCGGGUGUAGCGGUGGAAUGCGUAGAGAUCCGGAAGAACACCGGUGGCGAAGGCGGUCUGCUGGGGUCGAACUGACGCUGAGGCGCGACAGCGUGGGGAGCAAACAGG